rnacentral:tRNA from 1 species
GCCGAAGUGGUGGAAAUGGUAGACACACCAUCUUGAGGGGGUGGCGGGCCAAACCCGUGCGGGUUCAAAUCCCGCCUUCGGCACCA